UGUAAGUCAUCUUCACUUUCUGCAAUGAGAGCGGCAUCGUCAGCGUAACACACUAUUUUGAUUUCUGCAUCCCCCAUUUUGUAUCCCUUUAGCCCUCGAACACUUCGAACAGAAUACCGCUACCUGCGGGUAUUGAUUCUGUGAUGGACUUUGGUCUCCUUCUAUUUGUGCUUGUAUUUUAUUGCUUGUAUAUAUGGUCUCUAUGAUUUUAAUAAAAUUGUGUGGGAUUUGCCUGUUGUAAAGGAGCUACAGGACGCCUUUCAGCUGGACACCGUCAAAUGCUCUAGUUAGAUGGACAAAACAUAUAAACACUGGCUUGUUGUAUUCAAUCGAUUUCUCGACUAUUUGUCUUGAUUCGAACGGGGCGUCUGUGCAAGAUCUUCCCGAUCUGAAUCCGUGUUGUUCGUCCAAACCACAAGCUCACAGAAACGGACACUUGCCAUGCUCAAAUGUUGAUGCAAAAUAUUAUGUACCCGUUCAUUCGAGAUGCCUACAGCACUAGGAAUCUCACGCACCUUCACUCUUCUCAACGUUGCCAUUUACAUUGUAUUCUCGAGUCUGGUGUACGUAAAGGAUGUGUUCGGUAAUAAUUGAUUUGCAACCGUGUUCGGUAUCCCAACCUAACUAUUAUUUAAUUCAUAUUUUCCAUAAUUAGUUUCAGGUGUGCUUUAUCAUUACAGCUUUAAGUGCUUCUCACAUUCUUUCAUUUAAUGUCCACAGUUUAAUAUGUAUCCACUCCCCGUCAUAAGUUACCAUAGCAACGGGGGGAUAAGAACACAAGACGUAAAGACGAAACGACGCUAAUUUGAAGAAAGCCGCGCAAAUCCAUUUUACAGAAGUCCAUUUAGUCCAAAAAAGUUUGGCAAGGGGCUGAAAAGGAACCGCAGUUUCUAACCGAGAAAGAAAAAUAUAGAAAAGCAAACCUUUAUUAUAUGAAAAAAAAUACCGAGUCUAAGGUUUAAUACAGAAGCUUUCAAAGACGUCGAAUAGGUAAACGAAUACCAGACAGCUCUAGAAAAUGUGAACGAGAUAUGGAACCCAAAAACCACACAUCAAAGCACCCAAACCGCAAGACAAGACAGACUCGGACAAAGAACUAAAAAUAAAAAGAGAGACUGGUUUAAUCAAAUAUGUAAGACAGAGCUGCAGUCCAACAGAACAAAAUAUGCAGAAAUAUAGGGAAGCUAGAGCGAGAACAAGAGCAGCAAUAUAGAAAAAGAAAAGAGCACAAUAAAAUAGGAUCAUCAAAGAUAAAACAAAACAGGGUGAAUAACAGGACCAAACGUUUUUUUUAGGCAUAAAAAGAAUCAAGAGAAGUUUUAGAACCAAAGUUGGAACAAUUAUAAAGAACAAUGGCAACAUAGCAACAACAGACAAAAGAAGUACUAGCUAGAGACCUGAAAAAAUGAUUACGACAAAUUGCUAAAUGUGCGUACACAUUACACAUCAGAACUCUUAGAAGAACUAACACAAGAUGAGUGCCAACAGCUAAGUGCGUAAAGAAUGGGGGAAGAGUAAUUAUAGUAGAUCCACAUGAAAAAGAUUUGUUUGUUUCUUUAAGAGCAACGUGAUUAUUGAGUAAGAGUUUGAUUAAGAUACGUGACGAUAAAAUGUUUCGUCGAAUGCCAAGGAAAAGAUAUUUGUUCAAGAAACAUGAAAUGGACGAAGCGUUAUUAAAACUAAACGGAAAGGAAAGCACCACUAAUGUUUAAUAAAUAAAAUGGCAAUUCUUGCAAAUAUAAAAUGCCCAGUUGUAGAUGUUGUUCAAAUGGAGGUGAAGACACAACAAUAAAUUAGAAAAAUGUUCUUACAGCCUGGAUAAAUAGGUAAAUAUGUUUUCAGGUGAGGUUAUAUUUGCCGAAAUUUAUCCACAAUCCAGACGGCGGUCUAGCGCACACUGGCUGCGCCAGGGAUGGGCAGGAUGAAAAAUAAGAGGACAAAAAUUUAGGGUGCACCGUCACUCAUUUUCUUUUAAUGCUCGAUAUAACAUGAUUACGUUAUGGAGUAAGGAAAAUAACUUAAAUAUUCCGAAACUCUUCACUCACC